CCUACGGGAGGCAGCAGUGGGGAAUAUUGCACAAUGGGCGCAAGCCUGAUGCAGCGACGCCGCGUGAGGGAUGACGGCCUUCGGGUUGUAAACCUCUUUCAGCAGGGACGAAGCGCAAGUGACGGUGCCUGCAGAAGAAGCACCGGCCAACUACGUGCCAGCAGCCGCGGUAAUACGUAGGGUGCAAGCGUUGUCCGGAAUUACUGGGCGUAAAGAGCUCGUAGGCGGUUUGUCGCGUCGUCUGUGAAAACCAGCAGCUCAACUGUUGGCUUGCAGGCGAUACGGGCAGACUUGAGUAUUUCAGGGGAGACUGGAAUUCCUGGUGUAGCGGUGAAAUGCGCAGAUAUCAGGAGGAACACCGGUGGCGAAGGCGGGUCUCUGGGAAAUAACUGACGCUGAGGAGCGAAAGCGUGGGUAGCGAACAGGAUUAGAUACCCUGGUAGUCCACGCCGUAAACGGUGGGCGCUAGGUGUGGGUUUCCUUCCACGGGAUCCGUGCCGUAGCUAACGCAUUAAGCGCCCGCCUGGGGAGUACGGCCGCAAGGCUAAAACCGUCAAAGGGAAUUGACGG
rnacentral:rRNA from 1 species